rnacentral:rRNA from 1 species
AACGAACGCUGGCGGCGCGCCUAAUACAUGCAAGUCGAGCGAGAAGGUGUAGCAAUACACUUGUAAAGCGGCGAACGGGUGAGGAAUGCAUGGGUAACCUACCCUCGAGUGGGGAAUAACUAGCCGAAAGGUUAGCUAAUACCGCAUACGUUUCCGGAACUUCGGUUUCGGAAAGAAAGCAAUACCGUGGGUAUUGCGCUCCUGGAUGGGCUCAUGUCCUAUCAGCUUGUUGGUGAGGUAACGGCUCACCAAGGCUUCGACGGGUAGCUGGUCUGAGAGGACGACCAGCCACACUGGCACUGCGACACGGGCCAGACUCCUACGGGAGGCAGCAGUAAGGAAUAUUGCGCAAUGGACGAAAGUACUGACGCAGCGACGCCGCGU